rnacentral:rRNA from 1 species
CCUACGGGUGGCUGCAGUGAGGAAUAUUGGUCAAUGGGCGUAAGCCUGCACCAGCCAAGUCGCGUGAGGGAUGAAGGUUCUAUGGAUCGUAAACCUCUUUUAUAAGGGAAUAAAGUGCGGGACGUGUCCCGUUUUGUAUGUACCUUAUGAAUAAGGAUCGGCUAACCCCGUGCCAGCAGCCGCGGUAAUACGGAGGAUCCGAGCGUUAUCCGGAUUUAUUGGGUUUAAAGGGUGCGUCGGCGGCCUUUUAAGGCAGCGGUGAAAGUCUGUGGGUCAACCAUAGAAUUGCAGUUGAAACUGGUGGGCUUGAGUAGGUUUGAGGCAGGCGGAAGGCGUGGGGUAGCGGGGAAAUGCUUAGAUAUCACGCAGAACCCCGAUUGCGAAGGCAGCCUGCCAAGCCAUGACUGACGCUGAUGCACGAAAGCGUGGGGAUCAAACAGGAUUAGAUACCCGGGUAGUC